rnacentral:lncRNA from 1 species
UGAGACCAUAAAAAUAAAAAAAAGAGGAGAAGAGUGAAAAGCCAGGCUGCAAGAGCAAUCCGUAAGCAAAACCAGAGAGUACAAAGCGUCCCUCCAGCUAGAACAUAGCCUCAGUCAUUCAGUUCCAGAAAGAACACUGGCUUAAAGCGUAUAGCAUAAGCCUCUCCCACUGGACACACUCCUCUGACCAGACGUUCCCUCUCAAAAAGGCACAGGCAGCUUGAUUUAACUUGGAGACCAUCACCGAACUGCAUUCCUACAUGCUGUCAUGAUGGGCUGCCUGUAUUGACUGACCACAAUCCUCCAUGACACUGGGGAUUAAAACAGCAAGCCAAGCCAAGCCAUCUGAACUCUGGAUACAUUCAAACAAAGAGGUUAUACAAGUCACAACAAAGAGAGGGCAAUGGAACAGGUUAGCAGCCUACAAAUAUCUGAUGGGUAU